GAGAUAACUCCUACGGGAGGCAGCAGUGGGGAAUAUUGGACAAUGGGCGAAAGCCUGAUCCAGCAAUGCCGCGUGAGUGAUGAAGGCCUUAGGGUUGUAAAGCUCUUUUACCCGGGAUGAUAAUGACAGUACCGGGAGAAUAAGCUCCGGCUAACUCCGUGCCAGCAGCCGCGGUAAUACGGAGGGAGCUAGCGUUGUUCGGAAUUACUGGGCGUAAAGCGCGCGUAGGCGGCUUUGUAAGUUAGAGGUGAAAGCCCGGGGCUCAACCCCGGAAUUGCCUUUAAGACUGCAUCGCUUGAAUCCGGGAGAGGUGAGUGGAAUUCCGAGUGUAGAGGUGAAAUUCGUAGAUAUUCGGAAGAACACCAGUGGCGAAGGCGGCUCACUGGACCGGCAUUGACGCUGAGGUGCGAAAGCGUGGGGAGCAAACAGGAUUAGAAACCCUUGUAGUCCUCCACU
rnacentral:rRNA from 1 species